CCUACGGGUGGCAGCAGUGGGGAAUAUUGCACAAUGGGGGAAACCCUGAUGCAGCGACGCCGCGUGAGUGAAGAAGUAAUUCGGUAUGUAAAGCUCUAUCAGCAGGGAAGAAAAUGACGGUACCUGAGUAAGAAGCCCCGGCUAACUACGUGCCAGCAGCCGCGGUAAGACGGGGGGGGCAAUCGUUAUCCGGAUUUAGUGGGGGUAAAGGGAGCGUAUACGGCAGGGCAAGUAUGGAGUGAAAGGCGGGGGCUCAACCCCCGGACUGCUCUGGAAACUGGACGGCUGGAGUGCAGGAGAGGUAAGUGGAAUUCCUGGUGUAGCGGUGAAAUGCGUAGAUAUUAGGCGGAACACCAGUGGUGAAGGCGGCUUACUGGACUCUAACUGACGUUGAGGCUCGAAAGCGUGGGGAGCAAACAGGAUUAGAUACCCUUGUAGUC
rnacentral:rRNA from 1 species